rnacentral:piRNA from 1 species
AGUUGGUUAUGGCAGUAUUUACCUGUAAUC